GUCGUCCGAGUUGUAAUCUAGAGAAGUGUUUUCCGUGCUGGACCGUGUACAAGUCCUUUGGAACAAGGCGUCAUAGAGGGUGAGAAUCCCGUCUACGACACGGACUACCAGUGCUUUGUGAUACACUCUCAACGAGUCGAGUUGUUUGGGAAUGCAGCUCAAAAUGGGUGGUAAAUUCCAUCUAAAGCUAAAUACAGGCGAAAGACCGAUAGCGAACAAGUACCGUGAGGGAAAGAUGAAAAGCACUUUGGAAAGAGAGUUAAAAAGUACGUGAAAUUGUUGAAAGGGAAACGCUUGAAGUCAGUCGCGUCUUCAGAAACUCAGCUAGGCUUCUGCCUGGUGUACUUUUCUGUUGGACGGGCCAGCAUCAGUUUUGGCCGCCAGAAAAAGGUGAGAGGAAGGUGGCACCUCCGGGUGUGUUAUAGCCUCUCAUCGUAUGUGGCGGCUGGGACUGAGGACUGCAGCAUGCCUUCAUGGCCGGGGUUCGCCCACGUAACGUGCUUAGGAUGCUGGCGUAAUGGCUUUAAACGACCCGUCUUGAAACACGGACCAAGGAGUCUAACAUGCCUGCGAGUAUUUGGGUGGUAAACCCAUAUGCGGAAUGAAAGUGAACAGUUGGGACUUCUGUCAUGGAAGGCACCGACGCCCGGACCAGACCUAUUGUGACGGAUCCGAGGUAGAGCAUGUAUGUUGGGACCCGAAAGAUGGUGAACUAUGCCUGAGUAGGGUGAAGCCAGAGGAAACUCUGGUGGAGGCUSGUAGCGAUUCU
rnacentral:rRNA from 1 species